AUGUUUUCGGAUACUGCCAUACAAUUACAACCUAUCUUUGCUCAAUGGGUACAAAAUAUCCAUGCUACUGCGCCUGGCGUAACAGCUCCUGGUGCAACAACAAGUACUAGCUUCACGUGGGGAGGCGGCGAGUUAGUAGCAGUAGGUGGCAAAGUGGCUUUGUUACCUAUUCCAUUAGGAACCGCAGAUUUUUGAGUCCAUCACAUUCAUGCAUUUACCAUACAUGUGACUGUAUUAAUACUUUUGAAAGGUGUUUUAUUUGCUCGGAGUUCCCGUUUGAUACCCGAUAAAGCAAAUCUAGGUUUUCGCCCUUGCGAUGGGCCUGGCCGAGGGGGAACAUGUCAAGUAUCCGCCUGGCAUCGAACUCUAUUUUCUGUAUGUUAA
rnacentral:rRNA from 1 species